UACGUAGGUGGCAAGCGUUGUCCGGAUUUACUGGGCGUAAAGAGCGCGCAGGCGGCUGGUCAAGUCCGAUGUGAAAUCUCCCGGCUUAACUGGGAAACUGCAUCGGAAACUGAUCGGCUUGAAGGUGGGAGAGGGUAGUGGAAUUCCCGGUGUAGUGGUGAAAUGCGCAGAUAUCAGGAAGAACACCCGUGGCGAAAGCGGCUCUCUGGAACGGUACUGACGCUGAGACGCGAAAGCGUGGGGAGCGAACAGG
rnacentral:rRNA from 1 species